GGUCCCGUAGUUCAAUUGGAUAGAACGGUGGUUUCCUAAACCGCUAAUCCCAGUUCGAUUCUGGGCGGGACUACCC
rnacentral:tRNA from 1 species